rnacentral:rRNA from 1 species
GUCUAUGGCCAUACCACCCUGAAUGCUACUGACCUCGUCUGCGCUCAGAAGAUAAGCAGGGUUGGGCCUGGUUAGUACCUGGAUGGCAGAAAUCACGUUUAUCAAAGUUC